GACGAACGCUGGCGGCGCGCCUAACACAUGCAAGUCGAACGAGCGAGCGAGAGCUUGCUUUCUCCAGCGAGUGGCGAACGGGUGAGUAACGCGUGAGGAACCUGCCUCAAAGAGGGGGACAACAGUUGGAAACGACUGCUAAUACCGCAUAAGCCCACGACCCGGCAUCGGGUAGAGGGAAAAGGAGCAAUCCGCUUUGAGAUGGCCUCGCGUCCGAUUAGCUAGUUGGUGAGGUAACGGCCCACCAAGGCGACGAUCGGUAGCCGGACUGAGAGGUUGAACGGCCACAUUGGGACUGAGACACGGCCCAGACUCCUACGGGAGGCAGCAGUGGGGAAUAUUGCACAAUGGGGGAAACCCUGAUGCAGCGACGCCGCGUGGAGGAAGAAGGUCUUCGGAUUGUAAACUCCUGUUGUUGAGGAAGAUAAUGACGGUACUCAACAAGGAAGUGACGGCUAACUACGUG
rnacentral:rRNA from 1 species